rnacentral:rRNA from 1 species
UGGGGAAUAUUGCACAAUGGGCGCAAGCCUGAUGCAGCCAUGCCGCGUGUAUGAAGAAGGCCUUCGGGUUGUAAAGUACUUUCAGCGGGGAGGCAGGCGAUAAGGUUAAUAACCUUGUCGAUUGACGUUACCCGCAGAAGAAGCACCGGCUAACUCCGUGCCAGCAGCCGCGGUAAUACGGAGGGUGCAAGCGUUAAUCGGAAUUACUGGGCGUAAAGCGCACGCAGGCGGUCUGUCAAGUCGGAUGUGAAAUCCCCGGGCUCAACCUGGGAACUGCAUUCGAAACUGGCAGGCUAGAGUCUUGUAGAGGGGGGUAGAAUUCCAGGUGUAGCGGUGAAAUGCGUAGAGAUCUGGAGGAAUACCGGUGGCGAAGGCGGCCCCCUGGACAAAGACUGACGCUCAGGUGCGAAAGCGUGGGGAGCAAACA